rnacentral:misc_RNA from 1 species
GAUGAAGAACGUAGCAAAAUGCGAUACUUGGUGUGAAUUGCAGAAUCCCGUGAACCAUCGAGUUUUUGAAUGCAAGUUGCGCCCGAAACCAUCCGGUUGAGGGCACGCCUGCCUGGGCGUCACGCAUCGCGUCGUCCCCCAACAUACUCUCCCUUUCUGGGUUGUCAUGUUGAUUGGGGACGGAGACUGGCCUCCCGUGCUUCUGGUGCGGUUGGCCUAAAUAGGAGGCCCCUUCGGUGGAUACACGGCUAGUGGUGGUUGUUAAGACCCUCGUAUUGUGCUGUGUGUUGCGAGCUGUUAGGGAAACCCUCACCAAAGACCCUAUUGUAUCGUCUUGGUACGAUGCUUCGACCGCGCCCCCAGGUCAGGCGGGACUACCCGCUGAGUUUAAGCAUAUCAAUAAGCGGAGGA